rnacentral:rRNA from 1 species
UACGUAGGGUGCAGGCGUUAAUCGGAAUUACUGGGCGUAAAGCGUGCGCAGGCGGUUUCUUAAGUCAGAUGUGAAAGCCCCGGGCUUAACCUGGGAACUGCGUUUGAAACUGGGAGACUUGAGUGUGGCAGAGGGGGGUGGAAUUCCACGUGUAGCAGUGAAAUGCGUAGAUAUGUGGAGGAACACCGAUGGCGAAGGCAGCCCCCCUGGGUUAACACUGACGCUCAUGCACGAAAGCGUGGGGAGCAAACAGG